rnacentral:rRNA from 1 species
GAUGAACGCUGGCGGCGUGCCUAAUACAUGCAAGUCGAGCGAACGGACGAGAAGCUUGCUUCUCUGAUGUUAGCGGCGGACGGGUGAGUAACACGUGGAUAACCUACCUAUAAGACUGGGAUAACUUCGGGAAACCGGAGCUAAUACCGGAUGAUAUUUUGAACCGCAUGGUUCAAAAGUGAAAGACGGUCUUGCUGUCACUUAUAGAUGGAUCCGCGCUGCAUUAGCUAGUUGGUAAGGUAACGGCUUACCAAGGCAACGAUGCAUAGCCGACCUGAGAGGGUGAUCGGCCACACUGGAACUGAGACACGGUCCAGACUCCUACGGGAGGCAGCAGUAGGGAAUCUUCCGCAAUGGGCGAAAGCCUGACGGAGCAACGCCGCGUGAGUGAUGAAGGUCUUCGGAUCGUAAAACUCUGUUAUUAGGGAAGAACAUAUGUGUAAGUAACUGUGCACAUCUUGACGGUACCUAAUCAGAAAGCCACGGCUAACUACGUGCCAGCAGCCGCGGUAAUACGUAGGUGGCAAGCGUUAUCCGGAAUUAUUGGGCGUAAAGCGCGCGUAGGCGGUUUUUUAAGUCUGAUGUGAAAGCCCACGGCUCAACUGUGGAGGGUCAUUGGAAACUGGAAAACUUGAGUGCAGAAGAGGAAAGUGGAAUUCCAUGUGUAGCGGUGAAAUGCGCAGAGAUAUGGAGGAACACCAGUGGCGAAGGCGACUUUCUGGUCUGUAACUGACGCUGAUGUGCGAAAGCGUGGGGAUCAAACAGGAUUAGAUACCCUGGUAGUCCACGCCGUAAACGAUGAGUGCUAAGUGUUAGGGGGUUUCCGCCCCUUAGUGCUGCAGCUAACGCAUUAAGCACUCCGCCUGGGGAGUACGACCGCAAGGUUGAAACUCAAAGGAAUUGACGGGGACCCGCACAAGCGGUGGAGCAUGUGGUUUAAUUCGAAGCAACGCGAAGAACCUUACCAAAUCUUGACAUCCUUUGACAACUCUAGAGAUAGAGCCUUCCCCUUCGGGGGACAAAGUGACAGGUGGUGCAUGGUUGUCGUCAGCUCGUGUCGUGAGAUGUUGGGUUAAGUCCCGCAACGAGCGCAACCCUUAAGCUUAGUUGCCAUCAUUAAGUUGGGCACUCUAAGUUGACUGCCGGUGACAAACCGGAGGAAGGUGGGGAUGACGUCAAAUCAUCAUGCCCCUUAUGAUUUGGGCUACACACGUGCUACAAUGGACAAUACAAAGGGCAGCGAAACCGCGAGGUCAAGCAAAUCCCAUAAAGUUGUUCUCAGUUCGGAUUGUAGUCUGCAACUCGACUACAUGAAGCUGGAAUCGCUAGUAAUCGUAGAUCAGCAUGCUACGGUGAAUACGUUCCCGGGUCU